GUGGGGAAUAUUGGACAAUGGGGGCAACCCUGAUCCAGCAAUGCCGCGUGAGUGAUGAAGGCCUUCGGGUUGUAAAGCUCUUUCGGCGGGGAAGAUGAUGACGGUACCCGCAGAAGAAGCCCCGGCUAACUUCGUGCCAGCAGCCGCGGUAAUACGAAGGGGGCUAGCGUUGUUCGGAAUUACUGGGCGUAAAGGGCGCGUAGGCUGUGCUGUAAGUCAGGCGUGAAAUCCCCGGGCUCAACCUGGGAAUUGCGUUUGAUACUGCGGCGCUGGAAUGCAGGAGAGGAUGGCGGAAUUCCCAGUGUAGAGGUGAAAUUCGUAGAUAUUGGGAAGAACACCGGUGGCGAAGGCGGCCAUCUGGCCUGUAAUUGACGCUGAGGCGCGAAAGCGUGGGGAGCAAACAGGAUUAGAAACCCCAGUAGUCC
rnacentral:rRNA from 1 species